CCUACGGUGAGCAGCAGUGAGGAAUAUUGGUCAAUGGACGCAAGUCUGAACCAGCCAUGCCGCGUGCAGGAAGACGGCUCUAUGAGUUGUAAACUGCUUUUGUACGAGGGUAAACGCAGAUACGCGUAUCUGUCUGAAAGUAUCGUACGAAUAAGGAUCGGCUAACUCCGUGCCAGCAGCCGCUGUAAUACGUAGGAUUCAAGCGUUAUCCGGAUUUAUUGGGUUUAAAGGGUGCGUAGGCGGUCGGAUAAGUUAGAGGUGAAAUCCCGAGGCUCAACUUCGGAAUUGCCUUUGAUACUGUUCGGCUAGAGAGUAGUUGCGGUAGGCGGAAUGUAUGGUGUAGCGGUGAAAUGCUUAGAGAUCAUACAGAACACCGAUUGCGAAGGCAGCUUACCAAGCUACUUCUGACGUUGAGGCACGAAAGCGUGGGGAGCAAACAGGAUUAGAUACCCGAGUAGUC
rnacentral:rRNA from 1 species